rnacentral:rRNA from 1 species
UUUUUAUAGAAAUUAAAUUUAAAUUAUUUUAUAAAUAAUUUUUUUUUUUAUGUUUAUUUAACUUUUAUUAAUUAAUAUUAUAUUAAUUUUUUUUGUUUUAGUAAUAAUUUAAAUAAAUUUUUUUUAAUUUAAUUUUAGUAAUGAAAAUGAAUAUUUUUAAAAUUUAUUAAGUAAAUUUAAUUUAUUGUACCUUUUGUAUCAGGGUUGAUUAAUAAAAAUAUUUUUAUUAUAAAAUAAAUCUCGAAUUUAAAAGAUCUAAUUAAAAAUUUUAGUUAUUGUUGAAUUAAUAUUAUAAAUUUUAAAUUAGUAGUGAUAUGUUAUUCGUUUUUAAAUAUAUCUAGUUUUUUAAGAAUUGAAUUUAAAUUCAGCUUUAAAAUUAUUAUUUGAUUUAAUUUUUUAAUUAAUUAUAUUUUUAAUGUAAAUAUAUUAAGGAUAAACUUAGUAUAUUUUUUAUAAUUUUUAAUAAAAAUUUCUUUAUAAGUAUUUAUAAAAUUUAAUAUCUUUUUAAAAAAUUUUAUAAUUUAUAUGUUUAUAGAUAUAUAAUUUUAAAAUUAUUAUUUAAUUUUAUUUAUUAAAAAAAAAUAUUUAAUGUUUAUUUGUUUGUUAAAAUGAUUAAAUUAGUAAAAAUUAUUUGUUGAAAUGAUAAAUUUAAAUUAAUUUAUUUUAAGGAAUUAGACAAAAAAAUUUAUAUUGAAUUGUGUAUUUACCUGUUUAUCAAAAACAUGUCUUAUUGAUUUAAUAAUAAGUCUAUUCUGCCCAUUGAAUUAAAAUUUUAAAAGGCUGCAGUAUAUUGACUGUACAAAGGUAGCAAAAUAAUUAGUUUUUUAAUUGAAAACUUGAAUGAAAGAAUGAAUAAAAUAUAUAUUGUCUCAAAAUAAAUAUAUUUAAUUUAAAUAAAAAGUAAAAAUGCUUUUAUUUUUUUAUUAGACGAGAAGACCCUAAGAAUUUAAUAAUUAUUAAGGAUAAAUUAUUUUUGAAAUUGAUUUUUAAUUUUUAUAAUUGUUUUACUGGGAGGGUAAUUAAAAAUAUUAAACUUUAAUUUAAAUUGAACUUUGAUUAAUGAUUAUUUGAUAAUUUUUAUAAUUAUAAGAAAUAAUUACCUUAGGGAUAACAGCGUAAUAAUUUUGGAGAGUUCAUAUUGAUAAAAUUGUUUGCGACCUCGAUGUUGAAUUAAAAUAAAAAUUAAAUGGAGAUAUUUAAAUUUUUAGUCUGUUCGACUAUUAAAAUUUUACAUGAUUUGAGUUCAGAUCGGUGUGAGCCAGAUCGGAUUUUAUCUAUAAAUAAUUAUAUAUUUUAUUGUACGAAAGGACUUAAAAUAUAAAAUAAUUUUUAUUUUAUGAUUAUUAUUAAUUUAUUAAUAAAUUAAAAUUAAAUUUUUAAAAUUUAAUGGAUAAAAAAUUUAUG